CGAUGACGUAAGAGCUCAUCUCUUCUUCUUCUUCGUCUUCUUCAUCUUCUACUACUACCUCUUCGACUUUACAGUCUCUGUUUGUUCUCUGUUUAGCAUGAGUGUUGUCGUCUUCUUCUUCGCAGAUGAAGGAAGAAACAGGGGAAGAUGCAGGGGAGCUUGGUCCGUAGUCAUCCAUUCUUCUGAAGGAAUUCGGAUCCAAGCUUAUGGUUUCUGGCGAGG
rnacentral:lncRNA from 1 species